rnacentral:rRNA from 1 species
AAGCGCUUGCGACCAGACUUGUUUGUAGGGUUCAGCCGUCGUUCUCGUCGGUGUAUUUCCCUAUCUACAGGCCAGCAUCAGUUCGGACGGAAGGUCAAAGGCCUUGGGAAUGUAGCAUCUUCCGGGAUGUCUUAUAGCCCUCGGUGUAAUGCUUCCUGCCCGGACUGAGGAACGCGCUUCGGCUCGGAUGCUGGCGUAAUGGUUCUAAGCGA